rnacentral:rRNA from 1 species
UACGUAGGGUGCGAGCGUUGUCCGGAAUUAUUGGGCGUAAAGAGCUCGUAGGCGGCUUGUCGCGUCGGAUGUGAAAGCCCGGGGCUUAACUCCGGGUCUGCAUUCGAUACGGGCAGGCUAGAGUGUGGUAGGGGAGAUCGGAAUUCCUGGUGUAGCGGUGAAAUGCGCAGAUAUCGGGAGGAACACCCGUAGCGAAGGCGGCACUCUGGGCCGGUACUGACGCUGAGGAGCGAAAGCGUGGGGAGCAAACAGG